rnacentral:rRNA from 1 species
UACGGAGGGUGCAAGCGUUAUCCGGAUUCACUGGGUUUAAAGGGUGCGUAGGCGGGUAUGUAAGUCAGUGGUGAAAUCUUGGAGCUUAACUCCGAAACUGCCAUUGAUACUAUAUAUCUUGAAUAUCGUUGAGGUUUGCGGAAUAUGUCAUGUAGCGGUGAAAUGCUUAGAUAUCGAGAGGAACACCUGCGGCGAAGGCGGGUUGCUGGGCCGACACUGACGCUGAUGCGCGAAAGCCAGGGGAGCGAACGGG